rnacentral:rRNA from 1 species
AUUGAACGCUGGCGGCAUGCCUUACACAUGCAAGUCGAACGGCAGCACGGGUGCUUGCACCUGGUGGCGAGUGGCGAACGGGUGAGUAUUAAAUGGGAACAUGCCCGGUAGGGGGGGAAGGCCGGGCGAAAGCCGGAUAAAUACCCCAUCCGAUCUACGGAGAAAACCGGGGGCCUUCCGGCCCCGCGCCUUAGGGGUUGGCGAUGGCUGAUUAGCUAGUUGGUGGGGUAAAGGCCUACCAAGGCGACGAUCAGUAGCUGGUCUGAGAGGACGACCAGCCACACUGGGACUGAGACACGGCCCAGACUCCUACGGGAGGCAGCAGUGGGGAAUUUUGGACAAUGGGCGAAAGCCUGAUCCAGCAAUGCCGCGUGUGUGAAGAAGGCCUUCGGGUUGUAAAGCACUUUUGUCCGGAAAGAAAUCCUUGGCCCUAAUACGGUCGGGGGAUGACGGUACCGGAAGAAUAAGCACCGGCUAACUACGUG